rnacentral:lncRNA from 1 species
UACCUUCUCCUUGACACUCUAUAUUAGCCUUUACGAUAAUUAUUUUUUUUUUCCAAAUGAAAUAAAAUUUAACAAUAGCAAUUAACCAUUACAAACACAAUAAAAGUACCAUUAAACAAUACAUCCGAUAACCAUAAUAUAGAUUGAGAAGAAAAAGAAAAAGGCACAACCAUGUCCCAAAAACAAUUAGAAUGAAACAAUUCAUCAUC